UUGGGCUCUAACCAACUAUUUUAUUAUUUUUUUUGGACCCAAGUCAAGGGGCUCUGGGCCCCAUUUCAUUUCCUACUCACAAUUUGGGAACACAUAACACACAAUUUGGAACACUAGCAAUGUGCAAUAACUUCUCAAGAUCCAUUUUCUCUUCCUUCACCGUUGAUUCUCAUUCCAUGCACUAUUACAGUCAUUUUUCGUCCUCUGCUAAUGUUACCUUCUUCCAUGAAAGUGAAGUUGGAUUCUCUGAACCGGUGACCUUCCAGGAUUUUAAAGCUUUUCAAAAUCAGUCUACAUCUAUCACCGAGAAGAGUGAUUGUAUAUCUUGAAGAAAAGUCCAUUGAACUUGAUAAAGAACACUACGAAGCUUUUGAGGUUCCUUUAUUGGGAGGUUUAUGGGAAAAAGUAUCAUGUACUCUCCUUAAUGACAUGAGAUGUGCUUAAUAUUUCUAUUACCACAGUGGCAUGAGAAUGUUCUUUCAAUAUUGGUGGAUGUGUUCUCACCAAAUACACAAGUUCCAUUCUUCUUGAACACGUCCAAAUAUUGAUUUGUACUCAAAACUGAAUAUAUGGAUUUAAUGAAAAUCUAAAUCGUAAUAUUUAUUAUUAUAAUUUA